UUGUAAAGUAUUUAAGAAAAAAUAUGAAAUCUGUUGUUUGACACUUUUGCAUGUAUAGGGUAUAUUCCAUUAAUUAUAUCUAGGGUACUUGUGAUCUACUGUAAAUUUUUUAGAAUUUAUUUAAUACUAGAAGUAUAUGUUGCUCUUAUGGGCCUAGUGCUAGGUAAGUAAAUAAAAGAUUGUGUUUUUUUUUUUGGAAGUAAAUAAAAUAGUUCGGUGUACCUUUGAAGCAUUCCAAAGUGUGCUGGUUUGUCUUAGUAAUUGUAGAAGAGAAUGCAGUAGGUAACUUUUACUCAAGUUACAUGCUCUUGGAUGAUGUUGACUAGAAAUUUCGCCGAUGCAUGUCUUUUGGUGUAGCAGCAUCGACAAUUACCAUAAAUGGAUUGACUGCCUUCUUU
rnacentral:lncRNA from 1 species